rnacentral:tRNA from 1 species
UCCUCGAUAGCUCAGUUGGUAGAGCGCCGGACUGUUAAUCCGUAGGUCCCAGGUUCGAGCCCUGGUCGGGGAGCCA